rnacentral:rRNA from 1 species
UGGAGGCAGCAGUAAGGAAUCUUGCGCAAUGGGCGAAAGCCUGACGUAGCCAUGCCGCGUGAAUGAUGAAGGUCUUAGGAUUGUAAAAUUCUUUCACCGGGGACGAUAAUGACGGUACCCGGAGAAGAAGCCCCGGCUAACUUCGUGCCAGCAGCCGCGGUAAUACGAAGGGGGCUAGCGUUGCUCGGAAUUACUGGGCGUAAAGGGCGCGUAGGCGGAUAGUUUAGUCAGAGGUGAAAGCCCAGGGCUCAACCUUGGAAAUGCCUUUGAUACUGGCUAUCUUGAGUACGGGAGAGGUGUGUGGAACUCCGAGUGUAGAGGUGAAAUUCGUAGAUAUUCGGAAGAACACCGGUGGCGAAGGCGACACACUGGCCCGUUACUGACGCUGAGGCGCGAAAGCGUGGGGAGCAAACGGGAUUAGAGACCCCGGUAGUCCC